UACGUAGGGUGCGAGCGUUAAUCGGAAUUACUGGGCGUAAAGCGUGCGCAGGCGGUUCUGCAAGUCAGAUGUGAAAUCCCCGGGCUUAACCUGGGAACUGCGUUUGAAACUACGGAGCUAGAGUGCGGCAGAGGGGGGUGGAAUUCCACGUGUAGCAGUGAAAUGCGUAGAUAUGUGGAGGAACACCGAUGGCGAAGGCAGCCCCCUGGGCCGACACUGACGCUCAGGCACGAAAGCGUGGGGAGCAAACGGG
rnacentral:rRNA from 1 species